rnacentral:rRNA from 1 species
AAUGGGUCAGCGACUUAUAUUCUGUAGCAAGGUUAACCGAAUAGGGGAGCCGAAGGGAAACCGAGUCUUAACUGGGCGUUAAGUUGCAGGGUAUAGACCCGAAACCCGGUGAUCUAGCCAUGGGCAGGUUGAAGGUUGGGUAACACUAACUGGAGGACCGAACCGACUAAUGUUGAAAAAUUAGCGGAUGACUUGUGGCUGGGGGUGAAAGGCCAAUCAAACCGGGAGAUAGCUGGUUCUCCCCGAAAGCUAUUUAGGUAGCGCCUCGUGAAUUCAUCUCCGGGGGUAGAGCACUGUUUCGGCAAGGGGGUCAUCCCGACUUACCAACCCGAUGCAAACUGCGAAUACCGGAGAAUGUUAUCACGGGAGACACACGGCGGGUGCUAACGUCCGUCGUGAAGAGGGAAACAACCCAGACCGCCAGCUAAGGUCCCAAAGUCAUGGUUAAGUGGGAAACGAUGUGGGAAGGCCCAGACAGCCAGGAUGUUGGCUUAGAAGCAGCCAUCAUUUAAAGAAAGCGUAAUAGCUCACUGGUCGAGUCGGCCUGCGCGGAAGAUGUAACGGGGCUAAACCAUGCACCGAAGCUGCG